GGGGGGCUUCAGCCCCCCUAAAAUAAUCACAAGCCCCCCUAUCAUUUUGAGUUUUUUUUAGGGCUGGGAUUUUAACGCGUUAAUUAUGAUUAAUUAGAAAAAAACGACACAUUAAAAAAAUUCCACGCAUUUAAUCGCAGCUUGCAUUUCGAGCACGGCGGAACCUUUGUCAUUGCACGACUUCCUCGUAGACAGAAUAUCACUGACGCACACAACAAUGCACAGUGCUAAUGGCUACUAACGGAAUAAAAACGGAAAGAAGUUGCCUUGCUUGGACUGAUGCAGGAUUUAGGAAACCCGUCCGCCUCUUUUCUUAACUUGAAGAAAAACGAACUUCCAGACAACAACGGAGUCCGUGUCACGGACAUUUUUCAGAGGUCGUCUCUGCUGCAGCUGCCCGUCCGGUGGCACAAGAAACUUUACAAAAGUUGUGGUGGAAAUGCUGUGUGAUUCUUGUGUCCUGUGGCCCAUGACCUGUGUCAGCCCGGUUCUGGAAGUGGCAUAGCUGAGUUCUCUGUUGCAAGGUUUUCUGGCGCUUGGGGCCGUUCCAGAGUGCACCUGAUCCUUGGAGGUUUUACACCUGCCCUCCAUCUACGCCUUUGGGUGAUGGACGACAUGAUGAUGGUCAUAUGAGGGUGGAGAAGGUGAAGCCGGUGCAGGUCCUCCUUCAUCAUGUUGACCAGCUUCACACUGCUGACCACCCCCAUGUCAUUGCCGCCACAGUGGA